rnacentral:rRNA from 1 species
GACGAACGCUGGCGGCGUGCUUAACACAUGCAAGUCGAACGGAAAGGCCCUGCUUUUGUGGGGUGCUCGAGUGGCGAACGGGUGAGUAACACGUGAGUAACCUGCCCUUGACUUUGGGAUAACUUCAGGAAACUGGGGCUAAUACCGGAUAGGAGCUCCUGCUGCAUGGUGGGGGUUGGAAAGUUUCGGCGGUUGGGGAUGGACUCGCGGCUUAUCAGCUUGUUGGUGGGGUAGUGGCUUACCAAGGCUUUGACGGGUAGCCGGCCUGAGAGGGUGACCGGCCACAUUGGGCCUGAGAUACGGCCCAGACUACUACGGGAGGCAGCAGUGGAGAAUAUUGCACAAUGGGCGGAAGCCUGAUGCAGCAACGCCGCGUGCGGGAUGACGGCCUUCGGGUUGUAAACCGCUUUCGCCUGUGACGAAGCGUGAGUGACGGUAAUGGGUAAAGAAGCACCGGCUAACUACGUG